UACGUAGGGUGCGAGCGUUGUCCGGAAUUAUUGGGCGUAAAGAGCUCGUAGGCGGUGUGUCACGUCGGCCGUGAAAACCUGCAGCUUAACUGUGGGCGUGCGGUCGAUACGGGCAUCACUGGAGUUCGGCAGGGGAGACUGGAAUUCCCGGUGUAGCAGUGAAAUGCGUAGAUAUCGGGAGGAAUACCGAUGGCGAAGGCAGGUCUCUGGGCUAUAACUGACGCUCAUGCACGAAAGCGUGGGGAGCAAACAGG
rnacentral:rRNA from 1 species